rnacentral:rRNA from 3 species
GACCCCAGGUCAGGCGGGGCCACCCGCCGAGUUUAAG